AGUACACUAACCGAUGAAGAGCUUGGAAC
rnacentral:piRNA from 1 species